rnacentral:rRNA from 1 species
AUACGGAGGAUCCGAGCGUUAUCCGGAUUUAUUGGGUUUAAAGGGUGCGCAGGCGGCCAUUUAAGUCAGCGGUUAAAUCGUGGGGCUCAACCCCAUUCUGCCGUUGAUACUGGGUGGCUUGAUUGCGGUCGAGGUUGGCGGAAUUCGUUGUGUAGCGGUGAAAUGCAUAGAUAUGACGAAGAACACCGAUUGCGUAGGCAGCUGACCAGACCGCAAAUGACGCUCAUGCACGAAAGUGCGGGGAUCGAACAGGAUUAGAUACCCUGGUAGUCCGCACAGUAAACGAUGAAUACUGGUUUUCGGCGAUAUAAUGUCGGAGGCAAAGCGAAAGCGAUAAGUAUUCCACCUGGGGAGUACGCCGGCAGCGGUGAAACUCAAAUGAAUUGACGGGG